UACGUAGGGGGCUAGCGUUGUCCGGAAUCAUUGGGCGUAAAGCGCGUGUAGGCGGUCCGGUAAGUCUGCUGUGAAAGUCGGGGGCUCAACCCUCGAAUGCCGGUGGAUACUGUCGGGCUAGAGUGCGGAAGAGGCGAGUGGAAUUCCUGGUGUAGCGGUGAAAUGCGUAGAUAUCGGAAGGAACACCUGUGGCGAAGGCGGGUCUCUGGACAGUUCCUGACACUGAGGCACGAAGGCCAGGGGAGCAAACGGG
rnacentral:rRNA from 1 species